UACGUAGGGGGCAAGCGUUGUCCGGAUUUAUUGGGCGUAAAGAGCGUGUAGGCGGCCAGGUAGGUCUGCUGUGAAAACUCGAGGCUCAACCUCGAGCUGUCGGUGGAAACCAUCUGGCUAGAGUCCGGAAGAGGAGAGUGGAAUUCCCGGUGUAGCGGUGAAAUGCGCAGAUAUCGGGAAGAACACCCGUGGCGAAGGCGGCUCUCUGGGACGGUACUGACGCUGAGACGCGAAAGCGUGGGGAGCGAACAGG
rnacentral:rRNA from 1 species